rnacentral:rRNA from 1 species
UACGGAGGAUCCGAGCGUUAUCCGGAUUUAUUGGGUUUAAAGGGUGCGCAGGCGGUGGAUUAAGUCGGCGGUGAAAUUUUGCAGCUCAACUGUAAAAGUGCCUUCGAAACUGGUUUCCUUGAGUGUAGAUGAAGUAGGCGGAAUUUGUGGUGUAGCGGUGAAAUGCAUAGAUAUCACGAGGAACUCCGAUUGCGCAGGCAGCUUACUAAACUACUACUGACGCUCAGGCACGAAGGCGUGGGGAUCAAACAGGAUUAGAUACCCUGGUA